UUUAACUGAAGAGUUUGAUCAUGGCUCAGAUUGAACGCUGGCGGCAGGCUUAACACAUGCAAGUCGAGCGGGGGCAGGUAGCUUGCUACUGGACCUAGCGGCGGCCUGGUGAGUAAUGCUUAGGAAUCUGCCUAUUAUUGGGGGACACCAUCUCGAACGGGAUGCUAAUACCGCAUACGUCCUACGGGAGAAAGCAGGGGAUCUUCGGACCUUGCGCUAAUAGAUGAGCCUAAGUCGGAUUAGCUAGUUGGUGGGGUAAAGGCCUACCAAGGCGACGAUCUGUAGCGGGUCUGAGAGGAUGAUCCGCCACACUGGGACUGAGACACGGCCCAGACUCCUACGGGAGGCAGCAGUGGGGAAUAUUGGACAAUGGGGGGAACCCUGAUCCAGCCAUGCCGCGUGUGUGAAG
rnacentral:rRNA from 1 species